rnacentral:rRNA from 1 species
AUUGAACGCUGGCGGCAUGCCUUACACAUGCAAGUCGAACGGUAACGCGGGGCAACCUGGCGACGAGUGGCGAACGGGUGAGUAAUGCAUCGGAACGUGCCCAGUAGUGGGGGAUAGCACGGCGAAAGCCGGAUUAAUACCGCAUACGACCUACGGGGGAAAGGGGGGGAUCGCAAGACCUCUCGCUAUUGGAGCGGCCGAUGUCAGAUUAGCUAGGUGGUGGGGUAAAGGCCUACCAAGGCGACGAUCUGUAGCUGGUCUGAGAGGACGACCAGCCACACUGGGACUGAGACACGGCCCAGACUCCUACGGGAGGCAGCAGUGGGGAAUUUUGGACAAUGGGCGAAAGCCUGAUCCAGCCAUGCCGCGUGCGGGAAGAAGGCCUUCGGGUUGUAAACCGCUUUUGUCAGGGAAGAAAUCUUCUGAGUUAAUACCUCGGGAGGAUGACGGUACCUGAAGAAUAAGCACCGGCUAACUACGUGCCAGCCGCCGCCGUAA